rnacentral:rRNA from 1 species
GGCAAGGGGGGGAAUGCUUUAACAUGCAAGUCGAACGGUAACAGGUCUUCGGAUGCUGACGAGUGGCGAACGGGUGAGUAAUACAUCGGAACGUGCCUAGUAGUGGGGGAUAACUACUCGAAAGAGUAGCUAAUACCGCAUGAGAUCUACGGAUGAAAGCAGGGGACCUUCGGGCCUUGUGCUACUAGAGCGGCUGAUGGCAGAUUAGGUAGUUGGUGGGGUAAAGGCUUACCAAGCCUGCGAUCUGUAGCUGGUCUGAGAGGACGACCAGCCACACUGGGACUGAGACACGGCCCAGACUCCUACGGGAGGCAGCAGUGGGGAAUUUUGGACAAUGGGCGAAAGCCUGAUCCAGCAAUGCCGCGUGCAGGAUGAAGGCCCUCGGGUUGUAAACUGCUUUUGUACGGAACGAAAAGCCUGGGGCUAAUAUCCCCGGGUCAUGACGGUACCGUAAGAAUAAGCACCGGCUAACUACGUGCCAGCAGCCGCGGUAAUACGUAGGGUGCAAGCGUUAAUCGGAAUUACUGGGCGUAAAGCGUGCGCAGGCGGUUUUGUAAGACAGUGGUGAAAUCCCCGGGCUCAACCUGGGAACUGCCAUUGUGACUGCAAGGCUAGAGUGCGGCAGAGGGGGAUGGAAUUCCGCGUGUAGCAGUGAAAUGCGUAGAUAUGCGGAGGAACACCGAUGGCGAAGGCAAUCCCCUGGGCCUGCACUGACGCUCAUGCACGAAAGCGUGGGGGAGCAAACAGGAUUAGAUACCCUGGUAGUCCACGCCCUAAACGAUGUCAACUGGGUUGUUUGGGU